UUCCAUCAUUUUUGACACACACGACAGAGUCUAGAAUCUGCUCUCGUCUUCCGUCUCUUCUAUUCCAACCGAUGGAGGAGUUUCAGUUCGCCUUCUUCAAACUUUCAACAAUACUCGUAGCUCUUUUCGUCUUCUUAUCUAUCUAUUAGAUUUCAGGCAUUAUUCGCUCAAUCCUUGCUCGCAUCUUCUUUGUUUUCUCUUUGUCUUCUUUUCUUUCUUUGCUACUUUUAGAUCUAUUUAACUGUUUUCAAUUUCAUGGAUAAAUUUCCUUGGAUUUUGUAUUUUCCAACCAGAUGAUGCGGAAUUACCAUUUUAAGGGCUAUUCUCCGUCCAAUUUCAUUGAUGUUGCCUUCUUCUUGCUGAUUCACCUCUAUCUCUUCUUCUUCAUAAGGUAUUGAAAUUUAUUGUUCUACUAACUUAAAACAAAAAGGAUAUUUAAUUUUACUCCUAAUUCAUGUUGUUCUUCCUUUUCUUUACAUUUUUUGUAUAUGUUAUAUUUCUAUGAAUUGUGAAUCGCGAGUAUGUUUUCAGGCUCUUCUUAACUGCCUCUGCGCACACCCCUCACUCUCCAUAGCCGAGGAAAAGAACAGUAAGAACUCAUGAUAACCUAAUUUUGAUAAAGCACUAAAAUUGGUGUAUGGGUUGAGAUUGAAAUAAAGUGAAUGAAUUAAGUCAAAUGGCUAUUGGGAAAAAUUUAUGCAUAUAAAUUUCUAUUGACAGAUUUUAUUCAUUAUUUCAUGUCUUAGGAAUGCUUAAUUAGGCUUAAGAUGAUUUGGGAACUUUUCUUAAAAGUUGUGUUCGAGCAACAUCUGAUUGUUUAAACUUAAAUUCAUUUAUCUGGCUACAAAUUUAUGGAAUAAGGAAGGUAUGUUAAAGGGCAUGUAAUGGGAUUGCUUUAUAUGAUGACUCAUUGUUGUUGAUGGGAUUUGAAAGUAGAGGAAUAUUUAAAAGUAGAGGAGUAGGAAGUAGAGCACCGAGGAUUGAUAAAGAUUGUAUGAAGUUGCAAGACACUAAUGGUCCAGAAAAAGGACGAGAAAAUAGCACAGAUAUCCAAAACUUUAAGAAGCAGACAAGAGGAAUAGAGAUGUAAGGACAUGUAUAAGAGGAUACCUAAGCCAAGGAAGUAGCUUAAUUUUUUUUAUUUUUUUAUUCCUUGUUUAUUGGCAUCCACUGAUACAAUGUGUGUUCAACUAUAAAUUAUAGUUGUUUGUCUUAUUGGAAAUUCUCAUUCACCCAUCUUUAAGCCUAAUUUGUCUUAUUUUCUACUGAUAUGUCCAUGUCUUAUUAUCAACAUAUGUUAUCUUCACCUAUACUUUCUUAUUAUUCUCUACUUUUAUGCAAUUUUAUUAGAAUAUUCUUUAAGUUUGUAUUUUAUUAAGAUAUUUUGUCCAAAAGUAUAAGUGACGGAUGGAUCUUUCCAUCUUGCAUACUUGACUGAUUGAUUCACUUGGUUACUUCUUGACAAUUGGUUUUUUCUCCUGUUAGUUCAGUACCGAAUGCAUAUGGAUUAUCAGGUUUGUAUAUUUAUCAGUGGAAAAUAUUAUUGCAUUCAUAAAUACACUUUGUUUUAACAUAAAUAUAGCAUGUAUUAAAACAUUCUUCCAUGAUGAUUACUUUCAACUUUUACAAAUUAAAACUAUUACAGGAACCUAGAAAAAGGAUUAUUUUCAAGGUCAUGAAAGAGUACUCAAAGGUCCUCCUCCAUCACUUCAAGUGGCAAAGGCUGUGAACUAUUUAACUUGGUACCCUUCUUUUUAUCCAUCAAGGCCUCUACAUGCUGCUCUUUACUUCCUUUUUGGGUGUAAGUUUUUUUUUCUUCAUAUUUAUGUUUAUCAUUGUGAUUAUUGAUGGUAAGGCCCAGCUCUCUUCGCAUUCAGUUUCUUAAAUCAAUUGGUGUGUUUGCUUUUGUGCUUUUAAUUUAUUUCAUCACUUUCAAGUUGUAGUUACAAGUUCAAAGAUCAAUUGAUUUUUUUUUAAUAUUCCGGAACAUAUGAUGACUAAUAGCUUGUUUGGCCAAGCUGCAAAAAUUAACUUAUUUUGAGAAGUGUUUUUUCUCAAAAGUGCUUUUUUCAAAAGUAUUUUUUGGUGAGAAUCAGUUUGUGUUUGGCUAAUUAAUUUGAAAAGCACUUCUGAGCAGCAAUUAGUAUUUGGCCAAGUUUUUAAAAACUGCUUCUAAGUGUAUUUUUCUUAAAAGUGCUUUUCAAAAAAGUGCUUUUGGAGAGAAGCUACUUUUUUCUGCUUCUCCAAAACUGCUUCUGCUUCUCCUCAAAAGCACUUUUCUUUCUUCAAAAAGCUUGGUCAAACACUUUAACUUUGAAAAAAAAGUACUUCUUUUAAAAAGAAAAGUGCUUUUGGCUUUGGAGAAGCUGGGCCAAACAGGCGAUAAGUCUAGCAUUCAAAAACUUUCCUCUUAGUUAGAAAAGGUAGUAUUGUAAUGCAUGAAAUAACUGGUGAUCGAGGAGGUUUUAUAUUCAUACUUUGAAAGUUCUAGCUUUGAUAUUGCCUAUUAUUUGUGGCUACAAGAGUUGCUUUAAUUUUUAUUUGGCUGAAUAGGUAGGGUGAUUUAUGAUACAAUAACAUGUCGUAGUAUGUACACUUUCGGAAAUAAGUACUUCGUAAAAUUGUACUAUUGUUAGGUAUUGAGUUUUAUUUGUGAAUUGAAGUAUAUAACUCUUUCGCACAGUGUAUUAAUACCAUGAGAUAUUUUUCCGUUCUAUGAGUUUAUCUACUAAGAUUAAGGACAAAUAAAAUAAGAAAUCAAGGAUAGUUUUGCAUAAUUAUUGUAGUGUAUUUGGUAACAGUGGCAUGGUAUAACUUUGUUUGUUUCCUUGGUUAUAAGUCUUUGCAAAUUAAAUAUAAUGUACUACAAAUGUAUUUAUAAAAAAGUGCAAUUUAUGCAAAAAGGGUGACAAGAACAAACCAAAAUUUUGAGGAAAAAAAAAAACAUAUUACCUAGGCUGAGUGCCAUUUCAAACAUAAGGUGCUCUUGCAGAUAGAAUAACACAAAAACGUCAUUAUUGUUACUUAGUUGAUCAACCAUUAGAAGUUUGUUGAUUGACCGUUGUUUGGGAAGUUCUAGAAUAAGUACCAUCUUGAGCUAACUAUCUUGAACACAAUUUUAUGUUUGAUUAUAUCUUCUUCAGUAUUUCGUGAACUCUAAAUUAUUUUCAUUGUUGACUCUGGUAGAAAUUGAUUAUUCAUCAAUGGGAGAUUUAAAAGAACCCCAUGACUGAGGUAUGUAUUAGGUCUUGAGCACUACCAGCUUACUCAAUAUAUUUAGAUAUAAAGAAUGUGUUUUAUUGUAAUUGUCUUGAAGAGUUUGUACUUGAAUUAAACUAUCUACUCAGUUUCCUUUCGAUAUUUGACUUAUGGAACUUCAGUUUGAUACUUUAUGUGAUAAAUACAGUCAAUAAAUCAAUCUAUCUAUGUCUUGAAACAGAGAAGAAACUUUUCAAUUAAGGUUUGUGAAGAAAAUGAGAAAAGCAAAGUGGAUCACUUUUUUAUAUUUCCCUUUUCGUGUAUUAGAAAAUUUUAUUAUUGACAAAGACCACACUAAGAUAAUGCUGAGAUGACAUAAAAGAAAUAUUAAUAUCAGUCCAUAUUUAUUCUUGCAGUGAUGACAAAAAAUAUAUCAAUGUAUUUACUUCAUAUCCUUAUAUGUUCUUUAUAACGAAUGAACUUUUUGUGUCACUUAAUAGUCAUAUGAUAUUAAUGUAUCUUUUUCUUUUAUAUGAGGGAAAGUAAAAUGCAUUGACCAACUUUUCUGGACAUCAUUUGCAUUUCACAUAAGUUGUGUCAGCAUUAGCUUAUCAAAGAAAACAUAAGGCUUAGCAUUUUUUCGAUUUUUUCGUUAAUUGUUAGGUGGUUAAAUCUUAAUGAUAGGAAGAUCCUAUACUGUUUUGAUAAAAUAUUAUAUUUGAUGUAUCUUUAGAUUGUAGUAACAGUGUCUUGCUAUAAAAGGCCAUAAUUUGACUCUUGAGUAUAGUAUUUUUCGAGUAGUUUAUUUGUGGUGAUCGCACUUAUCUCUUUAUGUCGUGAUAUUUUUCAAUUCUUGCUAUCAUUUAAUAUUUUCUAUCUCUAAAUAUUUGACUUCUUAUUCUCUACUUGGAAUAGGACAGGUUGUCUGAAGAACACAUAGUAGCAGAUGUAUGAAUGCAAUACACAAAAUAUUUGCCAUACUUUAUGUGGCUCUUAGUUGGACUAUGUUCUCUUUUGUUUAUAGUACAAACACGGAUAGCAACUGAUAUAUUUAGUUGAUCACGUAGCAUAAGAUAGUGGGUAGAAAACGAUGAAGAAAUAAGGCGUACUUGAGCUUGAGUUUGAUUUUGUAAGUAUAUUUAAAGGAAGUUGAAGAAAAGGAAAUAUUUAGCUCAAUUUUGAUAAAUCUAGGGA
rnacentral:lncRNA from 1 species